rnacentral:rRNA from 1 species
GACGAACGCUGGCGGCGUGCUUAACACAUGCAAGUCGAACGGAAAGGCCCUGCUUUUGUGGGGUGCUCGAGUGGCGAACGGGUGAGUAACACGUGAGUAACCUGCCCUUGACUUUGGGAUAACUUCAGGAAACUGGGGCUAAUACCGGAUAGGAGCUCCUGCUGCAUGGUGGGGGUUGGAAAGUUUCGGCGGUUGGGGAUGGACUCGCGGCUUAUCAGCUUGUUGGUGGGGUAGUGGCUUACCAAGGCUUUGACGGGUAGCCGGCCUGAGAGGGUGACCGGGGAAAUUGGGAGGGAGAGAGGGGCGAGGGGCCAACGGGAGGAAGAAGUGGGGAAGAGUGAAGAAAGGGCGGAAGCCUGAGGCAGCAUUGCAGCGUGGGGGAGAAGGGAGGUGGGGGUGUAAAGCGAUGACGAAUGGGAAGAAGAGGGAGGGAAGGGAAGGGGGAAAGAAGCAACGGAUAAAUAAGGG